AUUGAACGCUGGCGGAAUGCUUUACACAUGCAAGUCGAACGGUAGAGGGGGCAACCCCUUGAGAGUGGCGAACGGGUGAGUAAUAUAUCGGAACGUGCCCAGUCGUGGGGAUAACGUAGCGAAAGCUACGCUAAUACCGCAUACGAUCUAUGGAUGAAAGCGGGGGAUCGCAAGACCUCGCGCGAUUGGAGCGGCCGAUAUCAGAUUAGGUAGUUGGUGAGGUAAAGGCUCACCAAGCCGACGAUCUGUAGCUGGUCUGAGAGGACGACCAGCCACACUGGGACUGAGACACGGCCCAGACUCCUACGGGAGGCAGCAGUGGGGAAUUUUGGACAAUGGGCGCAAGCCUGAUCCAGCAAUGCCGCGUGCAGGAUGAAGGCCUCGGUUGUAAC
rnacentral:rRNA from 1 species